AGGAACGCAGCUGCGAGUGAAGCGUUGGUGGUAGAGGAAGCCGAUCUAUAGUAUAGACUGAGGUCUGCGAGACGAUUGAGCGACAACACAACUCUUGGAGUGAGAGAACUGUUAUUGGGAUCAUACAAAAAGAAUGAGUUUUGCUUAUCAAUGGCCGAAAAUACCUCGAUUCGUCCGCCACAGCCUUUCCAUCCCGUUUCUCCUAAGCGCCCGGCGUGUGAGCUCGGCCAGCGACUCAGCUACGUUAUAGUUGCACAGCGGCGAGAUUUCAAAGAAAGCCAUACCGUGUCUCUGGGCAUACGCUUCGGCUUGGGCAACGCUUACCGCCCGUUUAAAUUCCAAGUGAAGUCGGUUACCAACAAGAACUUUCGGCACGCCAGGAGCAUGCUAAACAAAGAUACAACAAGUAGAUUUGAAAGUACCAAUAAAGGAAUGGAAAUUUUA